rnacentral:rRNA from 1 species
GUGGGGGAUAUUGCACAAUGGAGGAAACUCUGAUGCAGCGACGCCGCGUGAGUGAAGAAGUAUUUCGGUAUGUAAAGCUCUAUCAGCAGGGAAGAAAGACUCGUAAGAGAGAUGACGGUACCUGACUAAGAAGCCCCGGCUAACUACGUGCCAGCAGCCGCGGUAAUACGUAGGGGGCAAGCGUUAUCCGGAUUUACUGGGUGUAAAGGGAGCGCAGACGGCUUAGCAAGUCUGAAGUGAAACCCCACGGCUCAACCGUGGGCUUGCUUUGGAAACUGUUUAGCUAGAGUACUGGAGAGGUAAGCGGAAUUCCUAGUGUAGCGGUGAAAUGCGUAGAUAUUAGGAGGAACAUCGGUGGCGAAGGCGGCUUACUGGACAGCAACUGACGUUGAGGCUCGAAGGCGUGGGGAGCAAACAGG